CGCCCCUACAACGUUGAAACACCUGAUCCCGUACGAUCUUCGAAGUUAAGUAAGAUCAAGCCUGCUCAGUACCUAGAUUAGGUGAUCGCUUUAGAAUCUCAGGUGCUGUAG